rnacentral:lncRNA from 1 species
GAAUUUUGAGAGUUAUUCUGGAUCUAAGAAGAAUUAGUAUCCUAAAAAACUCAUUGAAAAUGUGUGUGUGACCCUACCAUUGAAAACAAUAAAUAGGUUUAUUGAAUUGGUGGGUGAUGAGAGUGGAGGAGGAGCGUGUGCGUGUGACAUGGGAAUAUGUGAUGGAGCAGUAGCAGAAGCACUACAAAAGGGUGAAGAAGAG